AGUGAACGCUGGCGGUAGGCCUAACACAUGCAAGUCGAACGGCAGCACAGUAAGAGCUUGCUCUUACGGGUGGCGAGUGGCGGACGGGUGAGGAAUACAUCGGACUCUACUCUUUCGUGGGGGAUAACGUAGGGAAACUUACGCUAAUACCGCAUACGACCUACGGGUGAAAGCAGGGGAUCUUCGGACCUUGCGCGAUUGAAUGAGCCGAUGUCGGAUUAGCUAGUUGGCGGGGUAAAGGCCCACCAAGGCGACGAUCCGUAGCUGGUCUGAGAGGAGGAUCAGCCACACUGGAACUGAGACACGGUCCAGAGUCCUACGGGAGGCAGCAGUGGGGAAUAGUGGACAAUGGGGGCAAGCAUGAUCCAGCCAGACCGCGUGGGUGAAGAAGGCCUUCGGGGUGGAAAGCCCUUUUGUUGGGAAAGAAAAGCAGCAGGUUAAUACCACGCGGUUCUGACGGUACCCAAAAAAUAAGCACCGGCUAACUUCGUG
rnacentral:rRNA from 1 species